UCGAGAAUCUUUCGCAAUGGGGGAAACCCUGACGACGCGACGCCGCGUGGAGGAUGAAGGCCUUCGGGUUGUAAACUCCUGUCAGCUGGGAGGAAUGGGUGGUCGACUAAUACUUGACCGCCGUGACAGUACCAGCAGAGGAAGCCACGGCUAACUCUGUGCCAGCAGCCGCGGUCAUACAGAGGUGGCAAGCGUUGUUCGGAUUUAUUGGGCGUAAAGGGUCCGUAGGUGGCCUGGAAAGUCGGAUGUGAAAGCCCACGGCUUAACUGUGGAACUGCAUUCGAAACUUCCAGGCUCGAGUGUGAGAGGGGCAAAGGGAAUUCCCGGUGUAAGGGUGAAAUCUGUAGAGAUCGGGAGGAACACCAGUCGCGUAGGCGCUUUGCUGGCCCACUACUGACACUGAGGGGCGAAAGCCAGGGGAGCAAACG
rnacentral:rRNA from 1 species